rnacentral:rRNA from 1 species
AGCUCCAAUAGCGUAUAUUAAAGUUGUUGCGGUUAAAACGCUCGUAGUUGGAUCUGCGGCCUUGAAGGACGGUCUCCCGAAAGGGUAGUCACUGUCUCUUCUAGCCUAAAUUCGAGUUGUCUCUAUGUGCUCUUUAUUGAGUGCUUAGAGCGACUAGAACGUUUACUUUGAAAAAAUUAGAGUGCUUAAAGCAGGCGAAAUAGCCUGAAUAAGGUGCAUGGAAUAAUGGAAUAGGACCUCGGUUCUAUUUUGUUGGUUUUCGGAGCCUGAGGUAAUGAUUAAGAGGAACAGACGGGGGCAUUCGUAUUUCGGCGCUAGAGGUGAAAUUCUUGGACCGCCGAAAGACGAACGACUGCGAAAGCAUUUGCCAAGAAUGUCUUCA